UACGAAGGGGGCUAGCGUUGCUCGGAAUCACUGGGCGUAAAGCGCGCGUAGGUGGCCAUGUAAGUCCGCUGUGAAAGUCAAAGGCUCAACCUUUGAAAGCCGGUGGAUACUGCAUGGCUAGAGUACGGAAGAGGCGAGUGGAAUUCCUGGUGUAGCGGUGGAAUGCGCAGAUAUCAGGAGGAACACCAAUAGCGAAGGCAGCUCGCUGGGACGUUACUGACACUGAGGCGCGAAAGCGUGGGGAGCGAACAGG
rnacentral:rRNA from 1 species